CGUGCCGGCCGGCGCAUCGCUCCGCUUGCCCGGGGCUUCGCCUUCGCGGCGUGGCUUCCGGCAGCGGUGAGGAAAGUCCGAACGCCGCCGGGCACCGUGCUUCCUAACGGGAAGGCGCCCUUCCGAGCAACGCUUCGGGAGGGCGACGGCAGACGUGCCACAGAAAAGUAGACCGCCGAUGGCGUGCCUUCGGGCAACGCGCAGGCAAGGGUGCAACGGUGCGGUAAGAGCGCACCGGCGCCUGCGGUGACGCAGGCGGCCGGGCCAACCCCACGGGGCGCAAGGCCCAGCAGCGCUGCACCGGCCUCGUCGCCUUCGGCAACGGGGCUGGAUAUGGCGGCCCGUCGAAACGCUACGGCCGGCCUUGCCGGCCGCCGGCGUUGCAGCGCGGGUAGGCCGCUCGAGGCGACCGGCGACGGUUGCCCGUAGAUAAAUGAUCGCGCUCCCCGACGCUCGGCGCCCCUUCAGCGACGUCGGCGCGGGUAGACCGAAUUCGGCUUACAGGCCGGCACGCCUC
rnacentral:RNase_P_RNA from 1 species